UGUGAUGUAGGGAAAGGAGAGGACCUGAACAAAGCACAGAAACAGGAGCUUAGGAAGCUGGCUGAGGAAUAUAAUAUUCCAAACGAGAAUACCCAGCACUUGGUGCCCACAGACACUUGUAACCAAUAAAGACACCAUAUGGCUUCACAAAGGACAGCAAGGUCAACAAUAUUUCCCACACCAUCUUUUCCAUGAAAUCAGAAUCGUGACAAUGAAGAUAACUCAUCCUUUUCUUAUUUUUUCUUUUCAUCUUUCCUAUGAAGCCAGAAAAUCUGCUUCGUGGAUUUGUUUCCCACCCUCCUAUCAUGGUACUGAUUCUUCUGUUGAUGAAAUAAAUUGAUUUUUCAUGCAC